UCUCCGGACCAUCAUCCACCUUCGAAUCACCUCCCCUGUUCCCAACUGAAACCAACCUCCCGUGUGCAUCCAAAGAUCCUCUGUUCUCAGCCGUAUCCCUCUACCAAACUCAGGAUCCGAUCUUACCUCCCAGCUCAUGGAUUCGUCUCCUCUUCCGGCUUGAUCCCAGCUCCUCCCAGCCGAGAUCCCAACAUCCAAGUUCAUCCUCUGCAUCUAGUUCGCAUCUUUCUUAACUUCCGGAUCAUUUCACGUCCACAGAUCCAUCGUUCCCAAGCUUCCUUUCUUCCGGAUUGAGUCCAUCGACACGGGAUAAACUCCAAAUCCUUAUCCAAACAGCAUCCCAUCCGAGAUUCUCCCGAGCUUCAUGGAUCACGGAUCAUCACCUUCUUCUGCAUCCUCCACGCGUCCGGAUCAACUCCAUCCAGCAGCAUGCCUUCCGCGUCCUUAUCUUCUCACUCACACGUGAAGCAAAACAGGGGAGGUGGGCAGCCUAUAAAAGGAACCAGGACGUGAAGGGUGGGGGGCAUUCCUACUCACCGAAUAAUCAAUCAUCGUGUUCCCAGGUGGAGUUCCCACAGAAGUCCAAAAGGGAGAGGAAACCGACGGGAGGAAGGAGCCAAUCAUCAUGAAGUCCUCCUGCAGUGCAGCUGUUCAACUCUUCAUGGAAGGCUAAUCUUUUCACUGGGGCUGGAUGCAGCCCUAACAAAAGGCCAAGGAUUUUAUGUUUUUGAUUUCUAUUCUUGGAGUUGUAUAAACUUUAUUUCGUUCUUAAUGAAUAUUUUAUUUCAUCCCAUAUUUAAUUUCUGUGAUUUUAAGUAUGAUGUUUAUACAACUGUUUUUCAUGAUCACUAAGUAAAUAUAAGAUAGUCC
rnacentral:lncRNA from 1 species